rnacentral:rRNA from 1 species
AUUGCCUUAGUAACGGCGAGUGAAGCGGCAAAAGCUCAAAUUUGAAAUCUGGCGUCUUUGGCGUCCGAGUUGUAAUUUGAAGAUGGCAACUUUGGGUCUGGUGCUUGUCUAAGUUCCUUGGAACAGGACGUCAUAGAGGGUGAGAAUCCCGUAUGAUGAGAGAGCCAGAUCUUUGUAAAGUGCCUUCGAAGAGUCGAGUUGUUUGGGAAUGCAGCUCUAAGUGGGUGGUAAAUUCCAUCUAAAGCUAAAUAUUGGCGAGAGACCGAUAGCGAACAAGUACAGUGAUGGAAAGAUGAAAAGAACUUUGAAAAGAGAGUGAAAAAGUACGUGAAAUUGUUGAAAGGGAAGGGUUUGAGAUCAGACAUGGUAUUUUGUACACCUUCUCUCUCGGGAGGGGGCCUCUGCAGUUUACUGGGCCAGCAUCAGUUUGGACGGUAGGAUAAUGACUAGGGAAUGUGGCUCUUCUUCGGGAGAGUGUUAUAGCCUUGGUUGAUACUGCCAGUCUAGACUGAGGACCGCGUCUUGACAAGGGAUGUUGUC